rnacentral:rRNA from 1 species
UGCCAGCCGCGCGGUAAUACGGAGGGGGCUAGCGUUGUUCGGAAUAACUGGGCGUAAAGCGCGCGUAGGCGGAUUAUCAAGUUGGGGGUGAAAGCCCGGGGCUCAACCUCGGAACGGCCUCCAAAGCUGAUAAUCUAGAGUUCUGGAGAGGUAAGUGGAAUUCCUAGUGUAGAGGUGAAAUUCGUAGAUAUUAGGAAGAACACCAGUGGCGAAGGCGACUUACUGGACAGAUACUGACGCUGAGGUGCGAAAGCGUGGGGAGCGAACAGGAUUAGAUA